UACGUAGGGGGCUAGCGUUGUCCGGAAUCAUUGGGCGUAAAGAGCGUGUAGGCGGUCCGGUAAGUCCGUUGUGAAAGUCAAGGGCUCAACCCUUGAAUGCCGGCGGAUACUGUCGGGCUAGAGUCCGGAAGAGGCAAGUGGAAUUCCCGGUGUAGCGGUGAAAUGCGCAGAUAUCGGGAGGAACACCUAUGGCGAAGGCAGCUCGCUGGGACGUUACUGACGCUGAGACGCGAAAGCGUGGGGAGCAAACAGG
rnacentral:rRNA from 1 species